GAUGAAGAACGUAGCGAAAUGCGAUAAGUAAUGUGAAUUGCAGAAUUCAGUGAAUCAUCGAAUCUUUGAACGCACCUUGCGCCCUUUGGCCAUUCCGAAGGGCAUGCCUGUUUGAGUAUCAUGAACACCUCAACUCUUCAUGGUUUUCCGUGAUGAGCUUGGACUUUGGGGGUCUUGCUGGCCUAUGGUCAGCUCCUCUAAAAUAAAUCAGCUUGCCAGUGUUUGGUGGGUAUCACAGGUGUGAUAACUAUCUACGCUUGUGGUUUUCCACCAGGUAACCUUCAGCAGUGGAGGUUCGCUGGAGCUCACAGAUGUGUCUCUCCUCAGUAAGGACAGCUCUUUGAAUGUUUGAUCUCAAAUCAGGUAGGACUACCCGCUGAACUUAAGCAUAUCAAUAAGCGGAGGA
rnacentral:misc_RNA from 1 species